CAAAAUUGAAAUAGGAAAACAAUUAGAGGAUUGAAAAGAAUAAGAGAAGAGGAUAAACUAGAGAUAGCAGACACCUGCCAUUUCCAAUUUCCUCUUCCAGAUACUAUCGCCGGGAGCCAUUUUCCGAAAGAAGCAGCGAUACCCAGCCCCAGAAAGACGACAACGAUAAAUACCCUACUCGAAGCUCGGAGCUUUUUCCACUCAUUCUUCCUACUAAGGUGCCCUUUACCCUUCUUUCUCUGCAAUUCGUCGUUCGAGCUUGAAGAGAUUCAAUCAGCUUUAAAUUCCUUCUCCUCACUUGAAUCUUGUUUAAUUAACUUUGAUCUGAUACUUCUUUGGAAAUUUUAUGUCUUGGAUCUGUUUCUUUCUCUAUUCUUUGUGUUUGAUGCAGAAUUGGUUGUUUUGCUUCUCCAGAUGACGCCGGUUUGCCCCUUUGUGAAAUCUGCACGCCCUGAUGAUUCGUCGUCGAAGAAAUCAGGGGAAAUUCCGAACAAGCAUGGGGCGGAGCACGAAGGGAAGGCGAAGAAAGAGUCCGGUGACUCUGCCAGCAUUUCUCCCAAGUGUCCUUUCGGAUAUGACUCUGCCAGUGCUUCUCCUAAGUCUGGCAGCAUUUCUCCUAAGUGUCCCUUAGGAUAUGAUUCUCAAACAUUUAAAAUUGGCCCUCUUAGUUGUGUUUUGUGCCAAGCUCUUCUCUUUGACAGUAGCAGAUGUGUGCCGUGCUCUCAUGUGUAUUGCAAAGUUUGUAUUUCCCGCUUUAAAGACUGUCCAUUGUGUGGAGCUGACAUUGAGAAGAUUGAACCUGAUACCAAUCUCCAGGCUAUAGUUGAUCAGUUCAUUGAGGGUCAUGCUAGAAUCAAGAGGUCUCAUGUUGACACAGACAAAGAGGAAGAAGUAGGUGACAAUAAAAAAGUGAUAUAUGAGGAUGUAUCUUUGGAGAGAGGUGCUUUUUUGGUGCAACAUGCUAUGAGAGCAUUUCGUUCCAAGAAUGUGGAAAGUGCCAAAUCAAGACUCAGUCUAUGUGCAGAAGACAUCCGAGAUCAGAUAGAAAAAACAGGCAACACUUCAGAGUUGUGUUCACAGCUUGGGGCAGUCCUGGGUAUGCUUGGUGACUGCUGCCGCACACUGGGUGAUCCUGGUUCUGCAGCUGCUUAUUUUGAAGAGAGUGUAGAGUUCCUCUCACAAUUGCCUACAGAUAAUCAGGAGAUUACACAUACACUAUCUGUUUCUCUUAAUAAAGUUGGA
rnacentral:misc_RNA from 1 species